CUCAGCGGCGCCGCGGACGCGCGGGAGCCCGGCGGGCGCCGACAGGCAGCGGCGGCUCCGCCCCUCUCUCUCUGCCGGGGUCCCUCCCCGGCCGCCGUCGCGGACAGCGACUCCCGUCCCGCCGCGCUACGUCUCCGCGCCGCCCGGGUCCGCUCCCGCCCGGGGAACGCAUCGACGAAGGAAGAACGGUCGCCCAGCUCCCGGAGCCAUCGCCCUACCCGCAGCCGGGAGCAGCCCGCAGGAGGAGGCACCUGCUCUCUCUGCCGGAGAGAAUAAAAAAGCCCCGCUCCAUCGCUGCGGCUGUGAUGUGUGACUAAAGCCCAUCUUCCCUCCACUGGGAACAGAGGAGCCCUGCCCAGUCUGACUGCUGCCCAGUGCUGCUCCCUGACUGCACGCUCUCUUGG